GUAAGGCCACUGUUGUACAUCGUCUUUAAUUGUUUUAUAAGUACGAAAUUCGUAGACUUGUAGAAAAUAGUGACUUGGAUUUUCACUAGUAAAAAAAUUCCAGUAAUUCCGUAAUACAACUAUGGACGUGUCGUAUCGGUAUUUAUAUUCGUCGUUAAAUUUCAGAUAAAAUACCGGUUUCGAAGCGGUACUUUAUAAACAAUUAUGAGCGUAAUAAUUAUAAUAGAUGUAAAUGUAUCAGCGAUAAAAGUUUACUCGGGCUGUAACUCGCCUACAGCCAAACGGUUUACAGGU